AGUGAACGCUGGCGGUAGGCCUAACACAUGCAAGUCGAACGGCAGCACAGUAAGAGCUUGCUCUUACGGGUGGCGAGUGGCGGACGGGUGAGGAAUACAUCGGAAUCUACUUUUUCGUGGGGGAUAACGUAGGGAAACUUACGCUAAUACCGCAUCCGACCUACGGGUGAAAGCAGGGGAUCUUCGGACCUUGCGCGAUUGAAUGAGCCGAUGUCGGAUUAGCUAGUUGGCGGGGUAAAGGCCCACCAAGGCGACGAUCCGUAGCUGGUCUGAGAGGCUGAUCGGCCGCAUUGGAACUGGGACACGGUCCAGGCGCCUGCGGGAGGGAGCAGUGGGGAACAUGGGGCAAUGGGCGGAAGUAUUGUCCAGCCAUACCGCGUGUGUGAAGAAGGCGUUGCGGUUGUAAAGACCUUUUGUUGGGAAAGAAAAGCAGCAGGUUGAGACCCCGCUGUUCUGACGGUAACCAAAGAAUAAGCACCGGCUAACUUCGUG
rnacentral:rRNA from 1 species